AGCAUACAGUGAGCCUGGCAGAAGACAUUGUGGAGAAUUGACAGGUCCGACCUUUAUUUUGCCACCUCCACCACAGCACCCAGCAACAUUUUUCAACUCCAUCGAUGCCGAGUUGACCACCGUUACUGCUCUGCCAGUAGCACCACCGCUCUUCCGCUCCAGCCAUGCCGAGUUAACAAGUCAGACCACCACUCCUCCGUCAACUUCGCCAACAUCUCUGCCAGUACCACCCCAGCAAGAUUAUUACAGACUUGUUCUGCAGCACCUCCGCACAAUUGAGGAGGAGCUGAAGGAGGUGAAGCAGCAGGUGGCGGUCAACACAGCCAUGAUACAGAGACUAGGUGGUGGUGGUGUGGCAGAUCUCGGCCUUGUGGAAGACACCAACAUGCCAUUGAGCAAUGCCGAGGACCUGGACGAGCUGGAGAGGCGGCUUAU
rnacentral:lncRNA from 1 species